UCGCUCCCUCACCUAAAAAAUCUUAAAAGAUCGCUCCAGAGAGGAGGUGCGGUCGAUACAGAGAGCAAGAGAGGAGAUGCAGGCGGCGCUCGAUGCGCCCAGCGCGGGUUCGAUGCGGGUGGCUCAUGCAUCCAGUGGCCGGAUCUAGGCUAUGUGUGUGCGCGCGAGGGUAUCCAUUGCCAGUCGAUCGAGAGGAUCCAGCCGCAUUCGAUCGAGGGUAUCCAGCGCGGGAUGCGGGCCCGAGUCGAUGGAGAGGAUCCUGCACUUGGGGGCCGGUCCAUUCAGCCGGUCGACGAUAAUGGAGAUCGGUGCUCGCGGCUAGCCGGAGGUGGCCGUGCCUCGCGGCUAAGAUCGCGGACGAAGGACGGAUGGAGGUUGUGGCGGCUCUCUGCGGACCAGGGUCAUGGAGAGGCUUCACCAGCGGAAAGAUGCAUGGAAAGGGAGAGGUAGUAAAUGUCAAGUGAUUUGUUGAUCGCCUGAUGCAAUACGAUCAGGUCAUCAGGGAAGUUAAUCAGAUCUUCCUUUCCUCAGUUUUACGUACUAUAUAUGGCCAAUCAAUUGUCGCCCAAAGCAGAUUACGGGUGGGAAUGAGUAGUCAAUUUUCAGUUAUUGUUUCUCUUUGAAAUUUUUAGAGAUUGUUUGUUUAAUAGUGGGUAGUACAUAUACCUCGGGUAUUUGGCUACCGAUUUCCUAUGUAGUCACUUGACUACUAGCCAGGCUUCACCAAGCCACUGAUGGUGAGAGGAUGAGGACCGGAGGAUGGAAAGGCGAGUGGAGCUGGAACAGGCAUAGGCGCCAUGGCGUGCCUGACCUUAGGUUGAUCCUCUCUUUUACACGACUUUCUCAGCCUGGCCCGUUCUUUCGAUUGGUGGAACCGGUGGGGACUUCACAUCGGCCUUCUACAGUUUAAUCUUUUGCUACUUGGAGGCGAGCAGAGGGAAGGCAUCUCAUUUCAGGUUCCAGAGGACUCUCGUUAUGUACUGUAUUGUGAUGCAACCGCAUCCAGUUUACAUCUGGCUGGAAUCAAAGAUGCCUAUAGACACUCGACUUCUUCUAUAGCUAUGUUCAAUCAAUGGAGCAGGAUAUGAUGCACAAAGCUCUGCUUUCGAGUUGAAAAUAGACGGGUGCGGCAACGCGCGCCAUCAAUGAUCUAGUAAGCAGUAAGAAGAGCCUAAGCCUGGGGAUGCUCAUGGCACCCCAAGGUAAUAUUCAAG